AAGUUAUGAAUGUAGAGACGAGGUAAAGAAUAGGUCAAGCAUGGACAGUAUUGUUCCAAUGUAUAUUAAGCAUUAUGAAUCAAAACAAUGGAAGCCCCAUGUACAUAUGAAUCAGUAGGGGAAUAGGAAGUCAACAGGAAGUGAAGAACAGCAGGAAGCCUUCCUGUCUCUUGUAACAGGGUCAAUGAACUUUGGGAGAUCUAAACAGAAAGCUACUUUAGUAUUCAUCACUUGGGGAUUAAAGGUUCCAGAGCUCUUGAAGUCACAGAGCAUUGGAUCCUUCAACCAAGAGGGCUGAAGUCCCUUGGAACUGAGUUUAGGAGACGCCCAUAGCUAGCUUUCCAGUGGCAACAAAGGAAGUGACCCACACUCAAACGGGCCUUAAGCAACCAUCACGAGCCAUUGACCAGCAGGGGAAUUGUAAACAAGAGAUUUACAAUUCUGUGAGAGACAGUAGUGCAAGCACUACACAACAAGGAUUGCUUAACUCUGACUCAGUUGCACAAGCACCAUACAAUGGAGACUGCUCAACUCUGUGACUCAGCAAGGCCCAUCAGGACACAUCUGGGCCAGUAUCUUCCCUGGGCUAUGAAUUGAGAGUAUAAAAUAAGGGACAGUGUCAUCGUGAGACCACCUCUUUCCUCCCCCACCUACUCUGAAGGCAACAAGAGCUCUGGGACGACAAAGACUUUGAACUGAGGAAACUGGUCCCAGGCUGAGAAGGAAAUUCAGCAUGUGUAUUAAGAACUGUAACCUACCUGCAACAUCCAGUGGGAGGACUAGCAACGGAACUUGGGAUCCUGGCCAAUGGCCUGGAAAAUGGAUACCCCAGGAACUGGUGACCAGGAGGCCCAGCUUGGAUGCCACAGCCAGUUCUGGCCAGCGGGAGGACAAUGGGCUGCGGAGAGAGGACCCCAGUGACCUUUCCAGACAGUGGUGAACAAAAGAUGGCUGAGAGGAGAGGAGGCCCAGGCGAUCCUGAUUACCUGGACAGAAGACAAAGGACAGAGGCGGGGCUUUGGG